CUCUCUGCAGGAAUCUAAAGGCCAGGAUGGUUUCCCCAUGGCAGCUCCUCUGGCUACUGGUGCUCUGGGCUCAGGAUUCCCAAGGAGCCAUUGUGCUGACCCAGUCUCCAGGCUCCUUGUCCAGAUCUCCAAGAGAGACAGUCACCAUCAGCUGCAAGGCCAGUGAGAGUCUAACAGAUAGUGAUGGUUAUCACCUCUUACAUUGGUACCAGAAGAAGCCUGGUCAAGUUCCCAGGCUUCUCAUCUACUGGGCUAACAGGCUGGCUUCUGGAGUGCCUGCCCGGUUCAGGGGCGGUGGAUCUGGGACAGAUUUCACUCUCAUCAUCAGCAGCCUGGAGCCUGAAGAUGCUGGAGAUUAUUCCUGUCAGCAGUCUAAGAGUUUCCCUUUCCCGCAGUGCUUCAGCCCCGAACAAAAACCUCCCCAGGCUGUUCAGGGGAUUCAGCUCAGAGCAGCAGCUGCUUCCUCUCUGCUCCCCAGGGCAGAGCAGCCCCUACUCUCUGAGCAGGUUCACAUCUCCCAGGGCUUCCUCUUUCUUGUUCCAAAGGUCCACUUUUUUCACAACUUUGAAUGA